CGUUCAUUAUGCGUAUCAAUUUCUUCGUGGUGGACUUUCAGUCCACGAGGGUAUUACCAGCCUAGUAGCCAGUACUUAUGUACUGGCAUGGCAUGAAAAUAUGGAUUUUUUUGUGUUAUUAAAAUUUUGUGUUACAAAAUGUUAGAAAUUAUUGUAAAUUAAGGAAUAUAUCUCCCUCAUGCAAAGCUCUGAUUUCUAUCAUGGAUUUGGCUAUACUUUUUGGACCUUUUGGAUUAUAGCUCUUCAACUUUUAUUUAAGCUUUGGAUUUCAAAUAUUUUGGCCACGAGCAUCACUGAUGAGACAUGUAUUGUCAAAAUGCGCAAUUGGUACCGUUAAUGUUAUUUAAUCCUUUCAGACUUCUUUUUUUUUUUGCUUUGAAAUGGAAGUAACUCCGUUAUGCCAACAAUAACAACUAGUAACCUUUAAUUAUGUUUAAUGAACUUGUUUAGCCUUUCCGCAUUAAUUUCUGCAUCUGUUGAAUCCUUUCAGAUUUUCCCUAAAUACCGUGUUGUUUCUAUAAAGGGUUUUGGCAUCUUUUUUUGUUUUGAAAUGGAAGUAACUCCUCACUUACCCCAUAUAGUAACUACAAGUAUGGUAACAGACCCUAUAUUUUUAGGAAACCCUAUAUCAAAUAUACAUAGUCACCACCUGAAGUCCUUUAACCAAUCAUAUCUCUAUAAAUCUAUAGGAGGUAAGAUAAUAUUAAUAGCAUGGUAUGUCAGUGACCUAAUACGAUAUAUAUGGGUUCAGUAAAUUCCAUGUGAUCAACAUAUAUAUAUCGUAUCGUAUUAGGUCACUAGCACACCGUGUUAUGAAUUUAUCUUACCGACUAUCUUAACAAGUAGUAGUACGACUUUGCCUAUCAAGGGGAUUAAGUCUUAAAUACUAAGUACAAAUGCAUAACGAACCUACUUCCAUUUGUCUAUAGAAAAAGAUGCCAGCAGUAUCAACUUGUUAGAUCUAAAUGUGUUUAAUGAAUUUAUUUUAAUCGUUCAUCAUCAAUUACAUCGUCUGUUGAAACCAUUUAAGACCGUGUUUUUUUAAUAAAGGGACGUAACACCACUACGAACCGUGUAUUGAAAUAAGCCAAGUCUACUAACCUUAUAUGGAUUAUACAUGGUGUCCACGCGGUUGCUUUUAACCAAUCACAUUCCUUGAAAUGUAUAGGUGGUAAGAUAAAAUUAUAUAUUGUUCUUAAAAAUUUCAAAAUAUCAUUUAGAAUUUAUGACAAAAGCUGGCAUACCGUUUUGCUUCUCAAACUACAUAAUGA
rnacentral:lncRNA from 1 species